UUACACGCACCCUCGUCGCCACACACGCACUAGUCAAAACGCACGCAGCAACCAAACCCUACUCCUAUCGCGACAACGACUGCGGCGGCGGCGACGCGAACGGAGGCGAACAAAAGUUUCACUUGGCCUCUCUCCCCUUGACUCCCCCUCCUCCUCCGGCGAGUCCCUGCUUCCGUGCGGCGGCAGCGAUGGCUUCCUUCUCCGAGGCUCCCCCCGGCAACCCGGCCGCCGACGCCAAGAUCUUCAAGACCAAGUGCGCGCAGUGCCACACCAACGAGCAGCGCGCCGGCCACAAGCAAGGUCCUAACUCCGUCGCCCUUCCUCGACGCUGACGCCGCCAUGGAUCCCGAUCGAAGACCUAGCCGACGGAAGCUGAUGAUCUCCAGCAUCUCCCCGUUCCCCGUCUCCCUGUGUGGUGGUAGGGACGGGAUUCGAGGCAACGCGGUCGUGGCGUGGAUCCCCCGAUGGAUGCGCUGGAGGAGGCGAUGCGCCGCCCGGGCAUGGCAUCUAGGCCUCUGAUGGAGCGACUUGCGGUGCGGCCAUGGCGUCCGACCCUUGGGUCCCUGCGGCGGCGAGGUGGAGCAAAGGUAGGAGCGGCCGUGGCGCCGGCUCCCUGGAUCGAUUUGCGGCGAUGGGUGGGCGGGAGUGGUGGUUGGCUCGCAGCGGCGCCCGCGGCGCUUCACCGUCCGGUGGCUUGGACCCUCGAUCCGGCGAUUGCGACCGCUAGCAGUCACCUGCUCACGCGCAUCGUAGCUGGGAGCUGGGUCGGUUCGGCGGCCGUCGAGCCGGCGCCUACCGCAUCUGCACCAAGAUGCUGAAGGCCACCAGGAGGACACUGUCGAGCCCGGCCAGGCUGCUUGCUUCCCACAACCUAGUGGCACAGCAAUCAACGGAGGAGCGCAAAGAGAGGUUCUGACGAUCUGCCUAAGUUUUGGGCGUGGCUGAUGAAGAUGGUGGCCGGAAUUUUGAAUCUUGAAACUAGCUAAAUUUGUAACGGAUAUAAUAUAUAUGAGUUUAUUUGUAAUUUGUAAAAUCUUUUUUUUUGUUUCUUAAAUUCGUUACUGCUGGCGCA